rnacentral:rRNA from 1 species
AACGAACGCUGGCGGCAUGCCUAACACAUGCAAGUCGAACGAGACCUUCGGGUCUAUUCUCCCACGGCUUCGUAACGCGUGGGAACCUUCCCUUAGGUUCGGAAUACCUCCCCGACUGGGGUGCUAAUACCGGAUAAUGUCUUCGGACCAAAGAUUUAUCGCCUUUGGAUGUUCCCUCGUUGGAUUAGCUUGUUGGUAGGGUAAAAGCCUACCAAGGCGACGAUCCAUAGCUGGUCUGAGAGGAUGAUCAGCCACACUGGGACUGAGAAACGGCCCAGACUCAUACGGGAGGGAGGAGUGGGGAAUAGUGGAAAAUGGGCGAAAGCAUGAUCCAGCAAUGACGGGUGAGUGAUGAAGGCAUUAGGGUUGUAAAGCUCAUUUAACCGGGAAGAUAAUGACAGUACCGGGAGAAUAAGCUACGGCUAACUCCGUG